AUCCAGCUGACCAGUCCCAAAUAGGACGAAACGCGCGCAAAACUGGAU
rnacentral:hammerhead_ribozyme from 1 species